UGCAGUUUUAUUCUACAUGUGGGAUGUAUUCUGUUAAAUUUCAAUAUAAAACCUGGAUUCAUCAUGAGAAAUGGUUUUUGCUUUUUAUCCAAAUAAGCAAAAUCAAAUCCAGGUCUCAAUCCUCAAAAUUCAUACAAAAGAUCCUAGUUCAUCCAUUGAUCUUUCACAAUCCAAGUACAUGUACCUCGUUAAUGUCAAUUGGAAGGCUACAUGAUAUUUAUUACUUUAUAAAUUUUGGAUUCAGUUUCAGAUCAGAUAGUCAUAUUUUCUUAUGUGGGAUCCUAGCUCAUUGAGCUAGGAUCCCACAUAAGAAUGAUUGAAUGCUUGAAUUCAGCUGACAUUUCGUCCUACAACUAUGAGUUACCCAUGAUUGGUAUUGGUAUGCUCAAUUGAUUUGAAGGAAUAUAGAUGCAUUGUAAAUGGUUUGUUUUUAUUACCUGUGAUCAUGAGAGUGGAUUAUUUUCAGCCUUAUGAACCUGUGAUGGGCUGUAAAAGUGGC
rnacentral:lncRNA from 1 species